CCUUAAAGAACCUGCCUUUGUAGUGCUCACACAGAUUGUCUGAUGAACGUAAAGAAGCAAGGCGUCUUGCGAUUGAGACUUCAGUGUCCCCUUCGUCUAGAGGCCCAGGACACCGCCCUUUCACGGCGGUAACAGGGGUUCGAAUCCCCUAGGGGACGCCACUUGCUGGUUCGUGAGUGAAAGACGCGUGCCGAUGUAUCUCAAAACUCAUCUUCGGGUGACGUUUGAGAUAUUUGCUCUUUAAAAAUCUGGAUCAAGCUGAAAAUUGAAACGACACACAGUUAAUGUGUGUUCGAGUCUCUCAAAUUUUCGCAAUCAGAAGUGAAACAUCUUCGGGUUGUGA
rnacentral:misc_RNA from 3 species